rnacentral:rRNA from 1 species
UACGAAGGGGGCUAGCGUUGCUCGGAAUCACUGGGCGUAAAGCGCACGUAGGCGGCUUUCUAAGUCAGGGGUGAAAUCCUGGGGCUUAACCCCAGAAUUGCCUUUGAAACUGUUUAGCUAGAGUGUCGGAGGGGAUAGCGGAAUUCCUAAUGUAGAGGUGAAAUUCGUAGAUAUUAGGAGGAACACCGGUGGCGAAGGCGGCUAUCUGGACGACAACUGACGCUGAGGCGCGAAAGCGUGGGGAUCAAACAGG